rnacentral:lncRNA from 1 species
GGUCAAGGACACAGCCUGGCAGAGAGAAGACAGAGCAAACAGAAUUUAACAUGUUCAGAGAAUACAGAUUGAUUCUGUCUGAUCCCAACAUGAGGAAAGGCUGAGGAGAGUGAGAAGUUGGUCCAUGAACACCCUCAUGUGUCACGCUGAAGGGAAGAAGACAAUGUUUUCUUUGCUCAUUUUGAAUCUAGACACUGUCUUCAGUGAGAACACGAGGCGGUGCUACCUAGAUCUUAUAAUGCAGAUCAUGGGGACCAACUGUCCCAAUGCCACUGUAUCCAGGCACUAUGGGAUACCUUAGAAGCCUACACUUAAAGAAAGUACUACCAUGAACAUAAUUCUCUCUAGUGGAUUACGCUAGUCAACUUGGUACAUCUGAGAAUCCUCAGAAGUGCCUCUUCCGUGGCACACACCAUAGCCAAUAUGUCUCUCUCCCUCUCUGAAGCUACAAGCUGAAAGGAACCAAGUCAUGUAACCAAGGAGGCAGUCCCCAUUGGACCCCUGAACGACCCUGAGAACCAGAGCCCUCUUCUGGCAACACUGGCUGCACGGCGUCCCCUUCAUCUGUCUUACAUUGUAAUCAGAUACAACCUUGAUGGAAUGAAAGCAGAGGUCACCCUGAACAAACUGGCACUUUACGUGCUUGGGAAAAGACUCCUUUGUAACAGGGAAAUUACAGCAUUUCUAUAGAGUGAUUUUUCUUAAAAGAACAGGUUGCUUUGUUCAAAAUGCUGCUGAUUUCAGCGCUCUGAGGAGAUGGCCCGUUCACACUGUCGACCUGCAGAAAUUUGUGGGGUUCCUUUUGUUUGUAGCAGCCUGCAUAUAUUACAGAGAGUAUAUUAAAAUAGAACGCACAAGC